AUAUCAACUAAUUAGAAACUACAGCCACAACAAAGAUAGAAAAAAGAGAGCAUUGAGACCAAUGCAAUAGCUUCAAAAAUUGACACAAUUUUGAAAAUCAUAUCAUCUAUGAAAGAAAGUGGCCAACAAAGCUUCUUCCACUUCAAUGAAGACAUUAAAAACUUCCAACUCCAUGAUUUCUUCCUUAGCUUCUUGAAUAACCAUGUCUUCUUAGUAACUAUGUC
rnacentral:lncRNA from 1 species